UCUUGUAACACGGACCAAGGAGUCGAGGUUUUGCGCGAGUGUUUGGGUGUAAAACCCGCACGCGUAAUGAAAGUGAACGUAGGUGAGAGCUUCGGCGCAUCAUCGACCGAUCCUGAUGUAUUCGGAUGGAUUUGAGUAAGAGCGUAUAGCCUCGGACCCGAAAGAUGGUGAACUAUGGCUGAGCAGGGUGAAGCCAGAGGAAACUCUGGUGG
rnacentral:rRNA from 1 species